rnacentral:rRNA from 1 species
ACAUGCAGUCGAGGGGCAGCAUUUUAGUUUGCUUGCAAACUAAAGAUGGCGACCGGCGCACGGGUGAGUAACACGUAUCCAACCUGCCGAUAACUCGGGGAUAGCCUUUCGAAAGAAAGAUUAAUAUCCGAUAGUAUAUUAAAACCGCAUGGUUUUACUAUUAAAGAAUUUCGGUUAUCGAUGGGGAUGCGUUCCAUUAGUUUGUUGGCGGGGUAACGGCCCACCAAGACUACGAUGGAUAGGGGUUCUGAGAGGAAGGUCCCCCACAUUGGAACUGAGACACGGUCCAAACUCCUACGGGAGGCAGCAGUGAGGAAUAUUGGUCAAUGGGCGAGAGCCUGAACCAGCCAAGUAGCGUGAGGGAUGAAGGCUCUAUGGGUCGUAAACCUCUUUUAUAUGGGAAUAAAGUUUUCCACGUGUGGAAUUUUGUAUGUACCAUAUGAAUAAGGAUCGGCUAACUCCGUGCCAGCAGCCGCGGUAAUACGGAGGAUCCGAGCGUUAUCCGGAUUUAUUGGGUUUAAAGGGAGCGUAGGUGGAUUGUUAAGUCAGUUGUGAAAGUUUGCGGCUCAACCGUAAAAUUGCAGUUGAAACUGGCAGUCUUGAGUACAGUAGAGGUGGGCGGAAUUCGUGGUGUAGCGGUGAAAUGCUUAGAUAUCACGAAGAACUCCGAUUGCGAAGGCAGCUCACUAGACUGCAACUGACACUGAUGCUCGAAAGUGUGGGUAUCAAACAGGAUUAGAUACCCUGGUAGUCCACACAGUAAACGAUGAAUACUCGCUGUUUGCGAUAUACAGUAAGCGGCCAAGCGAAAGCAUUAAGUAUUCCACCUGGGGAGUACGCCGGCAACGGUGAAACUCAAAGGAAUUGACGGGGGCCCGCACAAGCGGAGGAAUAUGUGGUUUAAUUCGAUGAUACGCGAGGAA